AGAAAGAUGACAUUGGCAUAGUAUGAAGUAUAAAAUCAUUAUUUUAAUGUCAAUCAAUUGAAAUAUAAUGAUUGCAUUUGAAUUCAAUUUAAUAAAAUAAUUUUAAAAAUCUCGUACCUUAUUUCAACUCAAUAUUUCCCAAAUUCAGUCAUUGUUCAUUAUGUUUUUGGCACAUAUAAGCAAGAGAGGUGAGUAAUUUAAGAAUAGAUCCUUAUAACGAGAACUCAGUACUCUAUUCCUUUUUCGUAAAAUCAUAUUUUUUUUUUUUACAAAGUCUACAGAAUCGAUUUAUAACUCUGGGCUCUGAUACUAUACUGUAACGCACCGAAAUUUUAUAGACUUAAAUUUUGAUGUGUUAUCGAUAUCAUUCCAUAAUCAUACAUCAAGCGGAAAAUAAAAUUAAAAGUUUAAAACUCCUAAUUUAUUUAAUACUCAAAUACUGAAUAAAAACAUAAUGUCACGUAAUAUAGUACAUUAAAUGGGAAUAAAUAAAAAAUGCAAAAUGUCCUAACUGAAUUAUGUUUAAAUAUUUUUAUAAAAAAUUUUACUUGGUAGCCCACGCACCACUAAGCCACCACCAACGUCGAUCGAUCUGACCUGAAAUGUUAAAAUUGAAGAAAUGAGUAAUUUUAUAUUCAGUACGAUAUGUGCGUCCAAAAAUUGUAAUAACUUUUAAAACAUGAAUUUAUAACAUUUCAUACAAUCAUUUCAUCAAGAGAAAUUGAUGAUCAAUCGAAUACUUUUAACGCAUUUAAGAAGACCCGAAGGAGAUCUCACAUUUCAUUUCAUUUGGACCCGCAGGUCAAUCAGCAUUUCAUGAAAUAAAUCACGUAGAAAAAAUUAAAAUAUUGCAAGGACAACCAACUUGCACAUAAUAUCCUACCUCGUUUUGACAAAAAUCUGAAGGCACACUCAAAAUAUUUUUCUACGUCUCUCUGCUACCACAUUCAAUUGAUGCACACUAUUUUGAUUUCACAAAUAUUUCCAAAUGAAUUGACAUGAAAUGGGUUGUUUUGGUUUCUGAUAAAACAAUGGCUUGUUGGCAAAUUUGUGUUAUAUAAUAGGAAUAAAGAAUAGCUUUCUAUUGGAAAUAAUGUGUGCUUACCACCUGACUUUGCAGUAUAUAAAUAGGACAGAUUCCCCAAUAAACUGAAAUUGUAAAAAAAAAAAAAAAAUACGUACAUGUUGAUUGGGUUUAUCUAGAACAUGUGAUAAGCCAAAAUCUUAUACCAUGCAACAAAAAAUCUAGUCAAAUUGUACUAUAAUAUCAUCUUAUUCAAUUAAAAAAAAAAAAAAAACCCCACUAUCUCUAUCCAAAUACACGUGGCAGCCAUCUAUCAAUCUCCGAAAAAAAAAUCAAAACUAAUAAACAAUAAAAGAAAACUGCCUUAUCUACUUACACAUUGCAGCUCACUAUCAAUCCAAGAUUAAUUAAGUUGAAAAAAAAAAAACUAGUUUUUUGUAAUUUAUUCAAACUGUAAUAUCUUGAAGCUAGCUUAUCCGAAUCGACUUUUUCUCUAGUUUAAAAUGUAUAAUUAAAUGAGCUAUCCAACGAGUAUAAUAUUAAUAUACUUAUCAUCAUUCUAUCCAAAUCCAAAUAUUAAACCCAAAGAAUAUAAGAAUUUAAAAAUAUAUUUCAUCUUAAUCCCUCAACUUUCAAAAUAAGAAAAUAUAAUAUGCGGAAUAAAUAAAUUUUUAUUGUAAAAUUUUCGGGAUGUUACACUUUGAAUUUACAUAGCCAUCGAAGAAGGCAUUUAUACUCUUACUGUGUUGAGUUCUUGAUAUCUUUGCCCAAAAAGUGGUUUAUAAAUAGCAAGAAACCCAAUGGCCUUUAUUCUUUUAUAGUCCCAACAACUAAUCAUUAUCAUGCAAAUUAAACGUUUCGAUCAUCAUUUCCCAACCUCAUUCAAACUCUUCAACAGACUGAGAAUCAUACACCAAUUCAUUUGUCAUAGAAAAUAUUGAAACUUUAUUGACGUGGAAGUAAAUGAUAUGGCAGAAAUUCCGUUGCACAAAAGCUACAACUUCGUAAUUGUUGAAGCAGCUAGAUAUGAAAAUAUUACUUGCGUGGAAAAUGAUUGUUGAAAUUAUAUUGAACAAGUGAGAUAAUUAAGAGUUGGAGGAGGAGAUGCCGCAACAAUGCAGUCCUACUUUUCCAAGAUGCAAGCCCAAUGCUCAGUAUUUUACUUCAAUAUAGAUUUGGACAAUGAGUCUCGACUGAGGGAUGUAUUUUGGGCAGUUAAUAGACCUCGAUAAGCGUACAAGGAGUUCGGUGACAAUAUCACAUUUGACACCACUUACUUAACUAAAAAGUACGAUAUGCCUUUCACCCUUUUUGUUGGUGUUAAUCAUCACGACAAUCAACACUGCUCCGUUCUAGUUGUUGUCUAAUGAGGGCACGGAUACUUUUGUGUAGCUAUUUAGGACACGACUUUAGUACAUAUAUAGAAAAGCUCCCCAUAGAAUCAUUACCAAUCAAGAUAGGGUCGUGCAAAAUGCAAUUGUUAGAAAAAUGUAGAUACCACGUUGAUAAGGCUUCAAUUUUUUUGAGCAUACAUGGAUUAGUGUAUGAUUCGUAGUUUGUUUAAGAAUUUGAAGAAGGUUGGAGAGCGAUGAUCAACGCGUAUGACUUGCAUAGUAAUGAUUGGUUAUUGGGACUGUUCGAUAAUAGAGGUCACUGGUUCCUUGCUAUUUAAAGACCACAUUUUGGGCGGGAAUGUCGACAACUCAGCGUAGUGAGAGUGUAAAUGCCUUCUUCGAUGGGUAUGUUCAUUCGAAGACCUCGUUUAAGAGUUUGUCGAGCAAUAUGAAUAAGCACUGAGGAGCAAGGUUGAGAAGGAGUUCCAAGCUGACUUCAAAUCAUACUUGUAAAUGGUACCGUGUAUAACAAAGUUCGAAAUGGAGAAGCAGUAUCAAAAGAGUUAUACCAUUUCGAAGUUCAAGUGGAACUCAUUGAGAAGGUUUAUUGUGACAUCAUAUCUAUUACAGAUGUUACUACAGGGAUGACUUACGAAAUAUGAGAGGUUGUCAUGUGUGAUGAACGAUAUAAAAAUAAAAAAAGUUCUUCAUCCCCAUUUCAGAUAAAUAUCUGUAAAAUUGUUUGCAGUUGCCACUUGUUUGAGUUUCAGAGAAUUCUGUUUCAGCAUGCUAUCGUGGUGUUGAUUCGUAAUGAUGUCACAUCAUUGCCUAAGAGGUAUAUACUAUGGUGGUGGAGGAGAGAUGUAUCUAGAGCACAUACCAGGGUCGCAAUGAGCUACGAUGGUUUUGUUAGUACUCCUGAAUAGUUGAAAUACAACGAUAUGUGUUUAGUGUUUGUGGAGGUUGCAAACCUCGCUACCGAUGAUGAAGUGCGGUCCCAUGUGAUAAAGGAGUGGAUAAUUAAUAAAAAACAAGAGCACUCACGAUAAAGUCAGAUAGUGGGAGUAAUAUCAUUUCACAUGUUGGUAGACAGUUCACCUCUCAGUGCAAUGAAUCCAAGGAUGAUGCAAGCGGGUGCAUACGCGAUCCUAUAACAACUAAGAGAAAGGGCGCACAAAAGAAGCUUCGGAAAAAAAUGUCCGUUGGAGUCCUCUUCAAAGAAAGCAAAGGUAUGUUGGUCAUUCUUUUUGUUAAUGUAAACAAUAUUCCACUACAACAUUUAUGUACUACAUAUUUACGUGUAGACUACUACCAAAGGAAAGAGGCAAAUGUUGAGUCAUAGUAACACGCCAUUGGUUGCAUCCAUCGUUCAAGCAUCUCACCAUAUUUAAUACAGACACCUUUUUCGUAUUCACAACUAUUGGUGGUUAGUAUAUUUAGUGAUUUAGUUUAUUAUCAUUAUUUGUUUGAUACUAAUAAUUGAGUUCUUGUUCGAUGUAGGGCGAUGCAGAAAGUCAUACUUACCCGCAACACUUGCCAGCCUCGAGUUUGGUCCAUCCAACGUCAACAAAUCUCAUAAUUACUUCUCAAGGUUUACACAUGUUUAAAUCUUUCCAUUUUCAUUAGAUUUUGUAGUAUGCGUGUGCAUAUGUUCAUAUUCUACAAUAUGUGAUUCGGUUCCAUACUACUAUCCACAUUUUUCCCAACAAGGUGGCCCUGGCUAAAUGCUAACUGGAAGAGGAAGAAGACUGUAGAGCAGUGAGGGUAUUUCUUGGAGCUACAAGAAUAUCUAGGAGACUAAAAGCUAUGGGAGAUUGGUUGGAACUAGCUGAUUGAAGACAUUUAAGUUUUGUUCUUCCAUGUGAUGUAAUUUUGGAAUUUUAACAAAUCUGCCUUCAUUUAAGCUGUUCUAUUUUUAAGUAUUUCAAAGACCAUCCUUGGUAUUGCUGUUGAAGAUUUUUCAACACGCCAUUGCUUUUGGGUAAUGUUGCUUCUGCUAUUACAAAUCUACCUUCAUUUCAUCAUGCUUUCUGGUCAUCUGUCUUAACCAUUAGCAUAAAGUUAUGAAUCUUGUGAUUCCAAUUAGAAAAGAACUUAAUCAUUAGCAUAAAGUCUUAGAGAUCCUCGCGGUUUUGCUGUGAAGUUUUACAUGAAAGAUGUAUUCAACCUUUUAGUUACCAA
rnacentral:lncRNA from 1 species